GGAGAGGUCGCAUAGCGGCCGAGUGCGCACGCUUGGAAAGCGUGUGAACCGAAAGGUUCCGGGGGUUCGAAUCCCCCCCUCUCCG
rnacentral:tRNA from 1 species